UAUUUGUUGAUUUAUUGAUGAUAGUCAUUCCAAUGGGUGUGAGGUAAUAUCUCAUUAAAACUUUGCAUUGAGCAUUGGAGAUCUGUUGUGCAGUCCUGGCUUGUUUUAUGUAAUACAUCAAUUUUGAAAUCAUUUAAAAUGUACUUUGGAAAUUGGUUACAGUGGUAGCUAUUGGGGAGGGGAACUAUUUGGAAAGGGGACAAUAAUGUUGUAUAUCUUGGAAUAUAAAUAUGUUCAUAUAUUAAUUUUCAAAAAUAAUUUUAAAAAUAUAUCAUAGGAACUUAUUCAAAGGAUAUUAAUGUUGGUUCAUUUUGUUCAGUGGCCACCCUAAUAUUGUGUGUGUACAUCCAGCUAGAUGUGCUGUGUCUAGAGAUUUUAAAAAUUUUUAUUAUGAUGUAUAUGAGUGAAUGAAGGAGUACCAUCGCACGCAGUAUUUGAUCUGGUUUCAGUUUCAUCCCCUCAACAGCUCUCCUUUCAUCUCUGCCCCCAGAACAAUGCUCACAGCGGAAGGAGCUAUAGAAUAGUGAAUUGGAGACAUUUUGAAAUUCUGUUUCUCCCAUCAGAUGGACCUUCUGCUUUUUAAACUUUUUACUUAUGUAUAGCAUAAAUACAAAAAUACAUAUAAAUCACAAGUGUAUUGUUUGAUAAAUUUGCACAAAGUGAAAAUACAUUGGUAUCCAGCUUUCGGUUUUAAUUGAAACUAAAUGGUUGUUGCUGAGAGUAGAUGGUUUUGUUUACCUUUUUUCUGAAAAAAACUAUUGUCAUUAAAAAUACAACAAGAACAAAAACUGUGCCUGCUAAUACAAAAUUGUAGUAAGCCAAGUUCCUACACGCACAUUUAUUGAAAUAUAAUUUACUUAUAACAUUAUUUGUAUUUAAGAUAUAUGAUAUGAUGAUAUCUGCAUAUAGGUAGUAAGCCAAAUUCUAAGUGUUUAUUUCUAUCUAAAUCAAAUGUUAAGGACUUUGGUCUCAAAAUAUUUUACUGAAUGCUUACAAUAUGCCGUACCAUACAAAAAUGAUAAAUUUACAUCAUUUAAUUCUUAACAAUAGUGGUAGAGAUAGUGUUGUUCUUAUUGUAGAUAGAAAUGAAAACUAAAGCUUAGAGAAGCUGAAUAAUUUUCCUUUCAAACACCCAGAGGAUGAAUGAUGCAUUCUAGCCUAUUUUAAAGAUCAUUUUUAUCCUAGAGUCUGAGCACUUAUUGUUAUAUUCUGUUUUCACUAUGUGUAUUUCUAGUGCAUUUGCUCCAUGGUAAAUGUGGUCAGAUUGUCCUGAUAGAGUAAGGUAUUGGGUUUUUGUUUUUAAAAUCAAAGGUGAAGGAAGUCAUUUCAAACUGUCAUCUUCUGAUGAGGCUUCAGGACAGCAUUAUGAUUGGAAGAGAGGACACAGGAAUUCAUUUCAGAGAUGUGUUUUUAUAGCAAGUCUGUUUAGUUUGCAUGUUAAUUAGGUGGCCUUGGAUUGGGGACAGCUAUUGAAAAUUAUGGGACAAGUAAGGCCCCUAUGCCACUUUUGGUAUUGCCUUUUCUUGAGGCAAAAAGAUAGUAUUAACCACUUGAAAGUAUGCUCAUUUUGCACGUUUCUUAAAAAGGGAAUAUAUACAUUGGGGAAAUUUUUAGACUGUUCUUAACCUAGUCUUCUUUCAGGAAAACAUUUGAUAGCUGUUUCAUUUUAAGCUAUUUCAUAAAGGACCUUGUCAGGCAGGAUGUUUCACAACUGCAUGCCAGAAUCAUCUCUGUUAGAGAAGCUUGGCAAACAUGUUAUUUGAAUGUAGUCUUGCUUUUUAUAUCCAAAAAUCUAUUAAAUAAACUUAUUUAAUAGAGUUGGAGUAAUGACCUAUAGUUUAAUAGAGUUGCAGUAAUGAUCUAUAGUUUAAGGCCUUGAAAAGUGAUAUGUUGAGGAAGCAAGCAAGUGUAGUCAGGGUAGUAACAUAUUGUACUGUUUACAAAUUGGUCACUUUCCUUCUCUUUUUAACUUAAUGAUAUUGCCACAUAUGUCAUCAGCCAUACCACAUGUCAGCUAUAUAGUGAACAAUGUUGAAAUUUGGGGAACUGUCUCUGUUUCCUGCUAAAAAUUGGUUUGAUCUUUAUUAUUGCUUUAAAAAUUGUUAAAAUUUAGUUUUCAACUCUUGUCCUAAAUUUGCCUGAAAUUAACAGGAAGGGAAACUGGUAUGUGUAUUUUUCUUUCUGAAGCCGUUAAGACCUUCGAUAAAGUUAUAAAACAGUUGAAGGUCAGUUUAUCACUACAGUUUAAUUUGGCUAUAGAAAUUGAGGCUUUGAAAACUCUGAUCUUUGACAGAUUUUAAUACCAAAAAAGUCUUUCUGUUCCCACCCAUCAUUUGCAAUGUAUUUUGGUCCUAUUUCAAAAACAGAUGGAAAAAUAAUCUGCAAGUGCCAGACAGUCAGAAAUUUCAUGGUAUAAUAACUUUGGGAUUUUGUGGGGGAUUAUACUAGUAUCUUAGACACUAGCAUAAACGGGGUUGACUCAAUUUAGAAAAUGCAGUUUUGAAUCUUGUAAUUCUUUAAAGCAGUGGUUCUGAACACUGCAUACAUACUGGAUUUACCUAAGAGCUUUUACAACAGGCCCAAUAACAAACAUCCCCAGAUACUCUGAUUUACUUGAUCCCAUGUAGGGUCAGGUAUUGAUAUUUUUGGAUGUUUCCCAGUAUAUAGUAAAGGUUGAUAACCACUGGUGGAGUAUACUGAGAUUCCCUGAUUGAAAUAGAAAGUAAUAGAGAGAAAAUACUUAAUAUGACUUUUUUUUUCAAUGAGGAGAGAUUAUUUAGAGAUGUUUGGAUAAAUAUUUUUUUAAAGUAGCUAGCCAAAUAAAAUGCAGUAUUUUUCUUAGGGAAUCAAUGAUGUGUUAACACCUUCAUGUCUUAAAAGAAGGUAACAGAUUUUAUUGUUAAGUAUUAGGAAUGUGGCCAUUUUAUGAAUACCUCUGACCUUGCUGAAGUUCUUCUUUUAAAUAAAUCUUGGAAAGGGGUCUGGUUGAAAUGAUAUAGAAAAAACCGAGGUGUAUGGAUAAGGUUUGGUAUAAUCAUCAACACAGAAACUUGAAGAAAUAAUGUCUAAUUCCAAUCUAGAAAUAUAGUCUUCCCUCAGUAUCACUGGGGAUUGAUUCCAGAAACCUACCCACUGCCCCCCCCACAUAUACCAAAAUCCAAGAAUGCUCAAGUCUCUUAUACAAAAUGCCAUAAUAUCUGCAUAUAACCUAUGCAUAUCCUCUCUAAUGCUAAUCAUUACUAGAUUGCUUAUAAUAUCUAGUGAGAUGCAAAUUCUAUGUGAAUGGUUGUUAUACUGUACUGUUUAGGGGGGAAAGCCUGUAUGUGUUCAGUAGUGAUGCAACCGUUACAGGUCUUACUGCAUAGUACACAUCAGCAACAGCAUAACAUUUCCCAUGGUAUAUCCCAUCUGUAAUUGGUUGAAUCCACAAAUAUGGAACCUACAGAUAUGGAGUGGCAACUGUACUAAUAAGAACAUAUAUAUCUUUAUUUCUAUAAACUGCAGAAGUUAUUUAAGUUGAAGAAAACCAGUUGUCAAAUGAAAGUUAAAUUAUGAAUCCUGUUAUGGGUUCAAUUGCCUCUCCUCACCUCACCCCACCUCCAGAUUCAUAUGUUGAAAUCCUAACACCUAAUAUCUCAGAAUGUGAUCUUAUUUGCUAAUGGGGUCAUUGUGGGUGUGAUUAGUUAAGAUGAGGUUAUACUGGAGUAGAGUGGGCCCCUAAUCCAGUGUGAUUUGUGUGCAUACAAAAAGAGAAAGUUUGGACACAGACACAUACAGGGAGAAUACCAUGUGAAAAUGAAGACUGGAACAGCGCCUUCCCUCAUAGCCCUCAGAAGGAACCAAUCAUGUCAACACUUUAAUUUCAUACUUAUAGCCUCUAAAAUUACGAGACAAUAAAUUUUUGUUGCUUAAGGCACCUACUCUGUGGUACCUUGUUAUAGCUGCCCUAACGAAUUAAUGCAAGUCCCAAUAUUUCAUUUAUUUUUAAAGUUUAAAUAUAGGAAAAUCCAGCGUAUGAAAUUUUACCAUGCCUUUGUUUAAGAGGUUGAGAACCAUUUCUCUAUAAGGAAUUUUAGAAUGUGUGGUUAUGAAGUUCUUAGGUUCCUGAUUCAGUCUUUAGCCAGUUGUUAGUCAAUCAGUUUAAAAGGCAGGAAUUUAUUAUGAACCCAGAUUAACACCUGGAGUUUCUGGAGUGUGUAUUUUUCUUCCAUUUAUGGUAAUAGAGGGGAGAUUCUUUCAAGUUAUCUGAGAGGAGUUUCCUAUAUGUACAGGUGACCCUUGAACAACCUGGGGGCUUGGGGGUGUCGACCUCCAUGGGGGGUUAAGGGGUUAGGUAAAAAAAAAACAUGUAUAACUUAAGUUGGCUCAUAACAUAGGCAGAUUCCCAGCCAUGUAUUGAAAAUAUUGUAUUUGACUGCUCUCGAUCUGCAGUUCUUGAAUCCAUGGAUGUGAAGCCUGGGGAAAUGGAGGGACAACUGUAUAUUUAUUGAAAAAAAACCCCACAUAUAAGUGGACCUGUGCAGUUCAAACCAAUGUUCAAGGGUCAGCUCUAUUUUGUAUAUACAGAUUCAGAUCUGCUACCUAAGAUUCAAGAGUUGAUCUGUUUCUUGUGUAUGAAUUGUUAGCACCCUUGAGAAAUUAGAGAUGAACAAUUUUGAAUAUAUAUCUUUUAUUUCAGUGGACUAGAAAAGGAUGACCAAUGCUUUUCAUAAGAGGAGCAAGUAUUUUAGAAGAUAGUAUGGCUAAAUUGCAAAUGAUCCUAGGAAGUCCCUGGGGCCCAAGAGGAAAUGGCUAUGCCCACAAGAUAGUUUGCAGUAGAUUCAGAUUGGAGAACCCUGCAAAAAAUAAUAUUGAAAGUCAUACCUCAACACACUUCCUAUCUAUUCUGUUUUCCUAAACAGAGCCAAGUAAAUAUGCCAACAAAACCAAUUGUGUUUAAUGCUGACUAUAGUAUUAUACAGGUAAAGAACAUGGAGCCUGGAGUUGAUUUAAGUUAAUGUUCUGCCACUUACUAACUAUAUGACUUGGGACAAAUUAUUUCCCAUAUAAAAAAUAGAUAAUCCCAUAUAUCUCCCUUGUAGGAUUUUAUGAUGAUUAAGUAAGGUGGUGAUCCAUGUAAAGCAAUGAGCAGAAUCCCUGGCAUAUAUUAAGUGCUGAUAAAUAUUUGCUAUUAGCUAAUAGCAGUAGCAGAGCAGAUAUGUGUCUAGUGUGCAUGCUACUCCCUCCCCCACUCCAUUUAGUCCAAAGAAUGAAUAUCUCUUCUACUGUAAUGUUGUAAACUUAAGAUCCAUGCCUUUAAAAUACAUAUUAACAAGAGAAAACCUGGAAGUGCCUUUCCAGGAUCAGCUGAUGCCCUUCUUAACUUUAAAGUGAGGAAAAUAAGGUCACAACAGUAGGAUUAGAGAAGGCUCUAGGUCUCCUGGUUCAUAGUCUUUGUUUUUUACCAUAUGUAUCUAAAUCUCAGAAUCAUGUGACCCUUUUUAUUCUUAACUAAGCUUUUACUUCAAAGGAAAAUAAUUUUUCUCUGUAUUUUUGUGUUUGGCAUUUUUAUUUAAAUAGCUUAAAAAUCUUUGAACUGAAAUUAAAAAAUGAGUGUUAAAGCAAAUUAGAAAAUGGUUGAUUAUACAUAGAUUUCUUUGUUAGGGAAUUAAAAACUGGUAACAGUGCUGCCUCUUGGGAGGGACAAAUACUGGAGUACAAGCAGCUAGCAUUGAUUAUGGUGGUAUCUGACGAGGUGUUCCUGAGACCUGCAAAUUCUGGAGAAUAGUCAAUUCUUCCAGUUCACUUACAGAUUAAUAGAGUAGAAUAAGGAAGAAAGUAAUAACAAGUAUAUCUAAUUAUUUGAAACUAUAUAGAUUCAAAUAAAAUUUUGGAGAUGUCCCUUGUAAUAACCACAUUCUUAACAUUUACUACCCAAAUUUCAGGAGCCAAACAGAUUUGGAUAAGAGGGAACACUCUGGUUUCAUUUGGGUGAGGACUGCUCCUGUGAAUUGCAUUGAUGUGCCUCUAACUUAGUGGGGGACCCUGGGCAAAUUUCUUAACCUAAUUUCUCUUCUGCUAGUGGAUAUAGAUGGUGAGCCUUAUUCUUACCCAGUACAUGGGGUUUUGAGGUAAAAAAAUGAAGUCAUGUAAAAAUCAACUGAAUUCUAUGUUCAGCCUUGUUAGAAUACUAGGAGCUUAACUUGAACUUGUAGGAGAGAAUAAGAGAAAUGUGUUAACAACUGCAUGUUGUUCACACUAGGUUAGAUUGUAGUAUUCAUCUUCAAAAAAAGAGAAAGGAAAGGCCAGAUUCAACUAUGCUUUGGCCACUUUAUAUAUUUUCCUGUGUGUGUUUUAUAGUGUAAUGUUUGAGACUUCUACUUUCUGUUUAAAACCUAGGAUUUUUGAGAGCCAGUUUACUUCUGAAUAACUUCCUCUUUUCUGAAAUAAGAAGAAACACUUUUAAAUAAAGUAAUCCAAAUAUGUUUAAAGGUUAUUAAUUGUAGAUUUUAGAGCACAGCAUUCAAGAAAGCACCAAUGGUAUCUGUUUAGUACCUCCAAUAAUUACGUAUUUAACUAUUUAAUGAAAUUAUUAUGACAGAAGUAAUAGUUAACCUCAGUGUUCAGUGCUACAAACAUAUUUUUAAAAAUUGAGGCUGCUUAGUUAUAUAAUGAAAUCAUAAAUAGCUUUUUUAAUGCAGCAGACUUACUCAAGGAAAAUAACAAAGUACCUGAAAUUACUAUGUAUGGGCAGUAACUUUUUCUUACAUUUAAGAUAAUAGGUUAUAAGGAUAUGUUUUAAGAAAUAGGAUAGUUAUGUAGCCUUGAGCUAAUAGGUUAUGAGGAUAUGUUUUAAGAAACAGGAUAGUUACAUAUCUUGAGCUAUCUUCCCAUAAGAUACUAAAGGACAAAGGGGAAUCUGAUGCAGAGUUCAAAACACUGGUAAUCAGGAUGCUCACAGAACUGAUUGAGCUCAGUCACCAAAUGAAGAGGGAAAUGAAGACUACACAAAGUGAA